GGAUGGGUGGCAGAGUGGUCUAAUGCGGCGGUCUUGAAAACCGCUGUACCGCAAGGUACCGGGGGUUCGAAUCCCUCCCCAUCCGC
rnacentral:tRNA from 1 species